GCUUUACUAAGUGCUAGUGCUAUGACCCUCGGCUUGUAACCGAGUGGGUUCGGGUUCGAAUCCCGAGUAAGACU